UGGUUACCUGAUAAUCCUAAGCCACUAAAUACGCUAUUUAGUUACACUAUUUUCUUUUUCUCUCUACUUUGAUACAUAUUUUUUGCUUCUCCAUUCUCUGAAAACACAAUGCUCAAUCUCAAAAUUUCUCUCACCCACAUUACCUACCAUUAGUCACAAACGGAUGUAGAAGAAAAAAUACAACGACAAGAUAUGUGUGUGAAGAAGAAAACAGUGCCAGAGAUGGCCGCCGACGCCUAUAAAAGUGGACUGAACAAAAUGAACACUGGGAGGCUUUGAGAAGUACCCUAAGGAAAGCCGAUAUGGAUUGUUAGAUGGAAUUUCGAAUAACUGUUUGCGCGAAAAAACUGUGAGUAUAUGGAUGUUUGAGACUCUGACCCAACUUUUGCGCUUAAUAAUUGGCCAAGUUUUAGGAUUUGUUUUUGGACAAAAGCGACGGAGUUUGGGAUUGACCAACUUGAUUUUCUGAUAAUAUUUUUCAUUAAAAUGUAAUGUAUCUCGUUGUGUUUCAUGUAUUUCAUUGUAUUCAUUGUCUUUUUUUCCUCAUUGUAUUUCAAUGUAUCCGUUGUAUUCUAUGUAUUUCACUAUUUCAUCAUAUGCCAUGUAUGUGUUCAUAUAUUUUUUUAAUUAAUAUAAUUUAUAUAUUCAGAUGUAUUAUAUAAUUUCCUUGAAGAUUGUUAUGUUUUUGGAGUAUUUAUCGAUUAAGAUUUUUUUUUAUAACUUGAAAUAUAAAUUUUGUGUGUUGUAGAGUUUGUUGAGUUAUAUUAGAGGUCUAUUAUGUUAAUUGAUUCACUUUCUGUUUAAAAAUAGUGUAAUCUCCUGUUUCACGCCAUGAAUAUAUGUCGAAUACAGUAAUCUAUCUAGUUGUAAUAUCAUAUUUCACGCUAUAAAUAUAGUCGAAUAUACUCGAAUACAACAACUGAUUAACUGAACUUUCCUGAUUUACACCUAUAUUUGUUACUGGCAUUCAUAAAUACAGUAUCUUAACUACAGCUACUACAUCUUAUAAUAAAAAACAUAUCUACAAUUUAUAAUAUAGAAAACAAUAUUUACAGAUAGCUAAUUAUCACUAAAAAUAGUUUUUUACAAAACUUUCUCUAACUAAAUAUCUUCAAUUGAUUGUCUAGAAAGAAACGAGAGGUUGAAUAAGAGUUAUGGAGCCAGAGAAGGAGAGGAAGACAAGAAAAAGAGAUAGAAAGGGUUUACGAGAAGAGACAAUAAAUAAAGUAAUUGUUAUGAAAUCUCCUAUUUAAGGUGAAUGUCUAUAAUUAGAGAGAUUCUAGAGUU
rnacentral:lncRNA from 1 species